rnacentral:rRNA from 1 species
GACUAGAGCCAUACCAUUCCGAAUAUACACACUCUGGUUUAUUCAUGGAACCUAAGCAGAAACACAUCUAUUCAGUACUAGGAUUGGAGAGUGCCUUGAAAUACUAGAUGCUGUAGGCU